CAGGUUCCGGUUCACCCCGCCAUCGGGGACCCGGCGACC
ncrna:Sciscionella sp. SE31 L31-Actinobacteria ribosomal protein leader